GUUGGGUGAGUCAUGAUAAACCUCAUAAUAUUCUCAGAAAGAAACUGAAUAAUCUUCGAUUCUGACUUUUCAUAUAUAUUAUAAUUCUCUUUGAUUCUGACAGUAGAAUAUUUCCAUAUUAUAUAACUAUGUUUACUAUUAAUUUACACUGUUAUGAUACUCUUACAAUAAUAUUUUAAUGACUCACACCGCAGCGUUGGUUCUAGCUAUUUGUUUGUUGUUAAACGAAGUGCAUUUCUUACAAGGCAAUGUAUUGAAGAAUAAGUAUUUUCCAUCGAAUCUAGUAUACCUUAUAGGUGUAUGUUUGGUAUUAGAGAAAGUGUCUUUUGUACCGAAGGUUUUGAAGAGAAGAUUUCCUCUACUAUGCAUAUUGCUAGAGGUACCGCUUUCUAUACUAAUUCUAGAAGCUUCUCUCCUCUACACCUGGUCGUAUAUCCAAGACUACACACUCCUUAACGCUGAUGAUCUCCUGGUAGAACUGGCGAAAGAAGAGUCCCUUGAAUGGCUUAUCUGUCACAUGUGUUGCGGAUGGACAGAC